AAAGACAUAUGCCGUGAUAAAACCACGACAUUUGACGUCCACCGUGAAGCUGAUCACACGAUGGUAUUAUGUUUUUGUAGGGAUAUAUACACGGAUCGAGAUGCUCGUGAUUUACUAGAUGAAGAAGAACCGGGCGAAAGGGUCUACGUACGUCAUGGAUGAGUAGUUGGAAACUCCAGGUAAAAGAUACAAGAUUUGAGACAAGGAAUUAGGUUUCGACGUGUCCAUCGCUGCAGACGUCUCCAACAAUCCGUCCGAUCUGAAAGCAAAUUGUCUUUUGAUACGCCGCCGCAGUAGAUCGACAGGAGUUGUGCUACGGCCGCUGUUUGUUCAAUCCAUCGAAGCCAUCAAAUUUCGCUACUACGCACAUGAUCAGUCCCGAGGCUCCUGAAGCAAGCAAUUCACGCAUCGGCCGAGUCGUCGUGUUCAUACUCCUGCAUCUCCAUGAGUUAAUAAGUCAAUUGCUAGUUUACAGAUCAUCAAGUUACUACAGACACGGACUCGCCGGCGCGCGUCUGAAGUCACCCCAAUUCCGCGUGUGCCUCUGUUCGUCCCGCGCUCCGCCAGCUGGGUCGCUCCUGCGCUCUCACCCUGCCGCACCAGCGCACCUUGCCUCGCAAACAACUGAAGGCGGCCAGUGCACGUA
rnacentral:lncRNA from 1 species